GCUCCGGUGGCCUAGUGGUUAGAGCGUCAGCCUCGGAUGCGGAAGGUCGUGAGUUCAAUCCCAGGUCGAGUCA